rnacentral:rRNA from 1 species
UACGUAGGGUGCAAGCGUUGUCCGGAAUUAUUGGGCGUAAAGAGCUCGUAGGCGGUCUGUUGCGUCGGCUGUGAAAACCCGAGGCUCAACCUCGGGCCUGCAGCCGAUACGGGCAGACUAGAGUUCGGCAGGGGAGACUGGAAUUCCUGGUGUAGCGGUGAAAUGCGCAGAUAUCAGGAGGAACACCGGUGGCGAAGGCAGGUCUCUGGGCCGAUACUGACGCUGAGGAGCGAAAGCGUGGGGAGCGAACAGG